AUUGAGUCACUACUGGAGUAC
rnacentral:miRNA from 1 species